AUUUAACCUGUCACUUAGUUAUAUCUUGCUUACUAAAGCCAAUUAUACAAACUAGGUAUUUAGGACAUUUGAAGUCCUAUGUACGAAACAAAGCUAAAUCAGAAGGUUCUAUAGCUGAGGGAUAUGUGGCUGAAGAAGCUCUUAUAUUUUGCUCUCGAUACUUAGAAGGGAUUGAGACAAGAUUUAAUAGGCCACCACAUGUUGAUGAUCGUCCGGAUGGUAAUUACAAUACACAUGUUGAUUCGCUUUUUCCACAAAUGGGUAACUCUAAGGGAGCUUUCAUAGUAUUUGAGUUGUCACCUAUGGAAAAAAAACAAGCACAUCGCUAUGUGGUUCUAAAUUGUCCAUAUGUCAAACCGUUCAUUGAGUAAGUACUUAAGGAUUUGCGUACAUGUUUUUUAUUUACUUGAAAAUAGUUGUUUAGUUAGAGUUAAACUUUCAUAUCUGGCAGUGACUUCAAAAAUUUUGUACGAAGACGAUCUAAGGGUAGAAGGCCUUCAAAUGUAGAGAUAGAAAAAAGAGUCAAUAAAGAUUGUUACUUGGUUUCCUACGCAGCUUAUGAACCCAGACAUUAUGAAUACUGUGCAUGAGGAUUUGAGAUACUUAGCAAGGGGUCCAUCACGAUAUGCCAAGAGGUUUUCUACAUUUAGUAUCAAUGGGUUCUCCUUUCGAACUACCAAUCGAGACAAUGGGUUAAAGAUCCAGAAUAGUGGAGUUUUCUUAAUGUCUUCAACUCCUUGUGUUGCUAGCGCUAGUGAUGCUAAUGUUUGGAAUGCUGAUUUAUCAUAUUAUGGCAAAUUAGAAGAUAUUAUAGAACUAAACUACAACGGCCGAUUUCGGGUUACUUUAUUCAAAUGUACAUGGGCUGACACCACUAGAGAACGGGGUUGUAGAUAGGAUAGUUGGGGUUUUACUUCUGUUAAUUUUUCACGAGUAAUACACAGUGGUGAUCGAGAGGAGGAUGAUCCAUAUAUUGAAGCCUCACAAGCUCGAAUGGUGUAUUUUGUCAAUGAUGAAGUGAAUAAAGAUUGGAGUGUUGUCGUGCAUUUGAAGCCAAGAGACUCAUAUGAUACGGGGGAAAUGAAGAUGAUGAAGCAUGCAAGAAUGAGCCAUAGUUAGAGCAAAACUUGGAUUCUUUAUUUGGAAAUGGUGAUAAUCUAUCAUUUUUAAGAGAUGAGGUAGAUGAUGAACUACUAGAUGAUGACAUUGGAGAAGACGAGCACAUGUCGGAAUAGUUAGGAGGUUAAAUUAAUUUAUAAUAUGCCAAA